rnacentral:rRNA from 1 species
CCAGGRCCAAGGUCAGCAGCAGGCGCGAAAAUUAUCGAAGCCCGCGUAGGGGCGAUAGUGAGGAGACGUGUAUUACGAAGUGUGUGUAAAGAACGCACUAAUAACUGGAGGUCAAGUCUGGUGCCAGCAUCCGCGGUAAUUCCAGCUCCAGGGGUGUCUAUGAUGAUUGCUGCGAUUAAAAAGUCCGUAGUCAAGCUGACUGACUUGCCUGCAAUGUGACUGAUUAAGAGACGAGCAGGGCUAGGAAAGCAGAGAAUUAGGAGCGACCGAGGGCUAGAGUAUUGAAUGGCGAGAGGUGAAAUUUGAUGACCCAUUCAGGAGUGACAAAGGCGAAGGCACUAGUCAAGGGCGAAUCCGAUGAUCAAGGACGUAGGCUAGAGUUUCGAAAACGAUUAGAGACCGGAGUAGUUCUAGCAGUAAACUAUGCCGACGCCGUGGUAUGGUAUUUUGUAUUGCGGAAGAGAAAUCAAGUAAGGCUUUGGGGAGAGUACGCGCGCAAGCGAUAAAUU